GCCAGGCGUGGUGGCCCAUGCCUGUAAUCCCAGCUACUCGGGAGGCUGAGGCAGGAGAAUUGCUUGAGCUCAGGAGGUGGAGGUUGCAGUGAGCCGAGAUUGAGCCAUUGCACUCCAGCCUGGGCAAAAAAGUGAGACCUUGUCUCAA
rfam:Homo sapiens chromosome 8, GRCh38 reference primary assembly.